rnacentral:ncRNA from 2 species
GUGCAUUCUCAGGGCAGGGUGAAAUUCCCUACUGGUGGUAUAUGUAUAUUUACAUGAGCCCACGAGCGCUUAAUAUUUAAGGUCAGCAGAUUUGGUGUGAUGCCAAAGCCAACAGUUAAAGUCUGGAUGAAAGAGAAUAAAA